CGUUUAUGCACGUGCAUUCGUCCC
rnacentral:siRNA from 1 species